rnacentral:rRNA from 1 species
UAAUCGCUGAAAGGGAAGCGAAUGGAACCAGUCUUCUGGCUGAGAUUGUUGCGUGCUACUGUGAUGCCUGGCUGCUUCAACGCAAGUGUGGCAGUUAGAGUUGAUCAGCUGUGCGUGAUGUUUCUCAGCUUGUUAGUCAACCUUUGUUCGUGCUUGGGGAUAACUGCGGGUUCCAUGUUCUUCUCNGCGGAGUUGAGCUCGUGCCUGUAAGGACUCAGGUGUGUACAAUUGGUGACAAAAUGGUUCUCUUCGACCCGUCUUNAAACACGGACCAAGGAGUCUAGCACAUGUGCAAGUUCACAGGUGGCAANCCUNCUUGCGCAAUGAAGGUGACUNCUGGGAUAUUUGCACCAGCAACCGACCAAUCAAUUGAGAGAAGUUUGAGUAUGAGCAUAUGUGUU